AUUUGGUGGGACAUAUCCUAUAGUGGUUUCCUGAGAAAGAGCAUGUUAUAGGACUUCCACCCCAGCCACCCCCCAGGUCCUGAGGAUUUGGUGUGCAAACUUAAGAGUUACGUCAUCAGCUUUCCUGGUUCUGAGGCCUUCGGACUUGGACUGAGCCACUCAACUGGCAUCUCAAGGUCUCCAGCUUGCCGACAGCCUGCUGUGGGACAUCUCAGCCUCCAUAACUGUGACAAUUUAUUCAUCUUAUCUGCUCUGCUGAAUCACCCUUGUAGCAAGCCUCAACCUUGUGUUCACUUUCAUGUGACUCUACCUUCUUAGAGA